UAGUAAUGGGAAUGAACUUCUUAUUUCAAUUGACUUGCAUCAAAAUUUACAGGUCUAUUUGAAUUUGACAAGGCUAAAAAAAUGACUGAAGUAUCUCGGCAAGAUAAAACUACUAUUUUAUUUUAUUUGUGUAACUUUUUUUAGCAAGUUGAAUUGAUAUCUUGGGCAUUUUUACUUACAGUUAGAUUUCCAGGUUUGUUUGAAUCUAGAAAAGCAAAAAAGGUGGUUUAAGUGGUACAAGAUGCUGACAGAAUUGAAACUAGUCCAUGUGAAACAGAAAGGGCAAAGAAUGUGAGGGGAACAAAUAUUUGUAAGAAUGGUUUGCGACUGAGACCUGGAGAAAUAUUAAAAGCCACUUCUUAUCAAAAUCGUGGAGUCGGGCAGAAUCACAGUCUAAUUUACGAGGCACUUGGGUUUGCUAGUUCAUGAUCUUAAUAUGUAUCCACUGCGGGUAUACUUAUGGAUGGACAUCGAAGAGCAUACGCUUGAGCACAUGAGAAGUUUGACAGUGAUGACAUGAAUGAUCAAAGAGAUAAUGUUUUUCAACAUAUGAGAAAGCUUUGGAGUAAUUGGAGAGGAUCAUUGCACAAGAAUGUGAAAUCUAAAUCAUUCCCCGAGGUUCUUAAAGAUGUGCCGAUGUGAGUAGACAAGGGUGAUUGGUAAUGGUUGGUCAAGGAACAUUUGUUAUCUGAUAAAUUUAAGGAAGCAAGUACAAGAAACUCAGUCAAUAGAUCUAAGUUGUGUAUGCCUCAUCGUACGGGUAGCAAGCCUGUUAGAGAGAUUGUUUAUGAAAUGGGAGGCAAAGAUGGUAAUCCACUAAACAUGAAAACUAUUUUCUUUGAGACACGUAAGAAGGGAAAUGAGGUUGUCGAACCUGGAAUGGCUAAAAAAUAUGCUGAAAUCAUGAGCUUGUACAAUCUGAACCAUCUCUUACUAAUACUGAGGUAGUGGAAAGGUGCUUUGGACCGCAAUGCAAAAGUCACGUAGUUGGAUUUGGUGUUGGAAUAA